GAUGAACGCUGGCGGCGUGCCUAAUACAUGCAAGUCGAGCGAAUGGAUUAAGAGCUUGCUCUUAUGAAGUUAGCGGCGGACGGGUGAGUAACACGUGGGUAACCUGCCCAUAAGACUGGGAUAACUCCGGGAAACCGGGGCUAAUACCGGAUAACAUUUUGAACCGCAUGGUUCGAAAUUGAAAGGCGGCUUCGGCUGUCACUUAUGGAUGGACCCGCGUCGCAUUAGCUAGUUGGUGAGGUAACGGCUCACCAAGGCAACGAUGCGUAGCCGACCUGAGGGGGUGCUCGGCCACACUGGGACUGAGACACGGCCCAGACUCCUACGGGAGGCAGCAGUAGGGAAUCUUCCGCAAUGGACGAAAGUCUGACGGAGCAACGCCGCGUGAGUGAUAAAGGCUUUCGGGUCGUAAAACUCUGUUGUUAGGGAAGAACAAGUGCUAGUUGAAUAAGCUGGCACCUUGACGGUACCUAACCAGAAAGCCACGGCUAACUACGUGCCAGCCGCCGCCGUAA
rnacentral:rRNA from 1 species